rnacentral:rRNA from 1 species
ACACGUAGGGGGCGAGCGUUGUUCGGAAUCAUUGGGCGUAAAGGGCGUGCAGGCGGCCCUGCAAGUCCGGCGUGAAAUGCCCCGGCUCAACCGGGGAGACGCGCUGGAAACUGCAGGGCUAGAGUACAGGAGGGGAUGCCGGAAUUCCAGGUGUAGGGGUGAAAUCUGUAGAUAUCUGGAGGAACACCAAUGGCGAAGGCAGGCAUCUGGCCAUGUACUGACGCUGAGACGCGAAGGUGCGGGGAGCAAACAGGUUUAGAUACCCUGGUAGUCCGCACAGUAAACGAUGUUCACCAGGUGGCGGGGGGUCGACCCUCGGUACCGUAGCCAACGCAUUAAGUGAACCGCCUGGGGAGUAUGCUCGCAAGGGUGAA